UAAAGUACCGUUACACAAUUUGUUCUAAUCCUUGAUUACAUUUUCCACUCAUCAAACUCAUCAUCAUCUUUCUUCUUCAAUGAAACAAAUCAUCAUCAAAUAUUCAAAUUCAAUGCUCUUAUUUUUCUCUUCUUCCACAACUACCCUCUUCAUUUCUCUCUCUAAAAUAACCCCUCCUCUCUCUCUCCUCCGCUUCUCCACCAUGUCUGCAAUCAACCUUCAAACUCACGCUUUCGCCGGAAAUCCAAUCAAACCCACACAAAAUCUUGGAUGCAACACGUCUACAUUUCUCCCUUUCAUUACUCAUCAAACUCAUCAUCAUCAUUCUUCUUCAAUGAAACAAAUCAUCUCUCUCUCUAACAUUUAGAUUCAUCCAUCUUAGUUACAUACGUGAAAACUUGAGAAAUCAACACACAAUUUCAUUUCGUAUUUUCAGCAUCGAAGAUAGGAAGAGUGAGAGAAAAUAAAUUGAACAUCUGGUUUUUCGGCGACACCUGAAAUUUGGAUCUCCCAAAAAAAUAAAAUUGGAAGGGGUUGCAAGAACGAACGAUUGGCCAACAUAGAUUUCCCCUUCAAGGUAUAUGUAUGGGCUAAUUUGUGCCUUCAUGGGAGGUGUAGAGGAUGGCCAACCACCCACAAAGUGGCUCAGAUUAUCUUGUGCAGGAUCAAGCAAUUUUUCUAGUGGCUUAAGAGCUGAAGAACAACCCGCAGCUGCUCGCUCUUUGAGGGAUUUGAUGGCUCGACCUAUACAAUGCCAAUACAAUGCCAGGGGGAAGAAGAGGUGAUUGGUUCAAGAGGGGUGAUAAAAAACUAGAGUUUGUUCGACUUAUAGCUGGUGCCUUGUAUGCUCUUGGUUAUGAACGUAGUGGUGCUUGCCUAGAGGAAGAAUCUGGUAUACCAUUGCAGUCUGCUGCAGUAAAUUUGCUUAUGCAACAUGUGGAUGGGAGGUGGGAUGAAAGUGCCUCAAUAUUGCAAAGCAUUGGUGUAGAUGAUGAAACUUAAAAACAGCUAAGUUUUUGAUCUUGGAGCAGAAAUUUUUUGAGCUUUUAGAUGAUGGGAAGACAAUGGACGCUUUAAAGACAUUGAGGACUGAAAUUUCACCUCUGCAUAUAAAAACAAGUAGAGUGCACGCAGAGACUCUAUGAAAGGAAAAUUGCGUUCAGAAGUUUUUGAUGAACUGCAGAAAUUGCUUCCUCCUACAAUAAUGGUACCUGCUAAAAGGCUGGAAUAUCUAGUGGAACGAAUUUGCAGCGUGAGGCCUGCUUCAUUCACAACUCUGCAGACUGGGAGAUGUCAUUUAUACUGACCAUCACUGCGGAAGAGACAAUAUCGUACUUUGCAGGUUAGUGUAUUUUUUCCAUACCUGUAUAAAGCUUCUUGUAAUUGUGCUCCCCUCGCCUUUCCUCCUCUUUCUCUGUGAUUUUAGGUUUUCUAUUAGCACAGUAUUCAUUGUGGUGUUUUACUUUGCUCUUCUAUUGGAAGGUAAAUUGAGAUUUUGGUUCUCAGAGUGGAUAUAGUUUCACAAUGUUUGCUGUUAUUUUUGGUCUAUCAAUCAAGUCACUUAUAUUUGCAUUGCAAGCACUUAAGGUUUCUUUCAAUGUUUAAAGGAACAUCAUUAUCAUGGUUCUUGUAACUUGUGCUUCAAUUAGAAUUGCAAUACUUCAAUUCCAAAGUGAUGGCGCACAAACUGGAGUUUAGAGCACACUGUCUUUUAGAAGUACGUAGUUUAAUGAUUCUUUUUAAAUUUUUUAAUAAGGGUCUCUGCAAGUACCUUACUCU